CCAACACUGUUGAAUCUGCCACCAUGACAUCCACUGCUGCAUCAACUUCACGCUCGCCCCAGCCCCUCACCAGGAACUCUUUGCCAACUUCAUGUAACAAUUGUUACAUGAGUUACAAAGAUUUCUCUGCCUUUUACUCAGGUAAUUAUGAUCGACUAAUCGGUUUUUGCCAGGACCACGGCCUCCUGAGAAAGCAGGUCUUUUGCCCCCAUUCAGUUACAAAGAUUUUUCUGCCUAUUACUCAGGUAAUUAUGAACGGCUGGUCUGUUUAUGCCAGGACCACGGCCUCCUGAGGAAGCAGGUCUUUUGCCCCCAUUGUGGGAAUGAGUGCCGCCUAGAUCUGCAAAAGAAGUGCUUUAGGUGUGACCGGUCUUAUCGACCGCAUAGUAAGAAAGCGAAGAAACGCUGUUCUUACUACUUUUCCUUGUUUAAGGGCACUUGGUUCUCUGGGUCCCACCUUGAUGUUGAGACAGUUCUGUUCUUCGCAUACCUGUAUGUGAGUGAUUUUUUUUCUUACAAGGUUGCGAGAACAGAACUUGGACUGUCGGACUCAACAAUUAAUGAUUGGGCCAGCUUCUCCCGGGAAGUCAUAGUUAAUUGGUGCUUCCAACAGAAGAAGCAAAUAGGUGGGCCCGGCACAAUUGUUGAAAUCGAUGAGGCGAAGUUUGGGAGAAGAAAAUACAACGUAGGUCGCCU